rnacentral:tRNA from 1 species
GGCCCGUUCGGAUAGCCCGGUAAUCCACCAGGUCGUGGCCCUGGCGUCGGACGUUCAAAUCGUCCACGGGUCACCA